AGCUCAGUUGGUAGAGUGCUUGCCUUGUAUGCACAAGGCCCUGGGUUCAAUCCCCAG
rnacentral:tRNA from 1 species